GACGAACGCUGGCGGCGUGCUUAACACAUGCAAGUCGAACGGAAAGGCCCUGCUUUUGUGGGGUGCUCGAGUGGCGAACGGGUGAGUAACACGUGAGUAACCUGCCCUUGACUUUGGGAUAACUUCAGGAAACUGGGGCUAAUACCGGAUAGGAGCUCCUGCUGCAUGGUGGGGGUUGGAAAGUUUCGGCGGUUGGGGAUGGACUGGCGGCUUAUCAGCUUGUUGGUGGGGUAGUGGCUUACCAAGGCUUUGACGGGUAGCCGGCCUGAGAGGGUGAACGGCCACAUUGGGACUGAGGUACGGCCCAGACUCCUACGGGAGGCAACGGGGGGAAAUAUUACACAGUGAGGGGAAGCCUGAUGCAGCAACGCCGCGUGCGGGAUGACGGCCUUCGGGUUAUAAACCGCUUUCGCCUGUGACGAAGCGUGAGUGACGGUAAUGGGUAAAGAAGCACCGGCUAACUACGUG
rnacentral:rRNA from 1 species